rnacentral:rRNA from 1 species
GUGAGGAAUAUUGGUCAAGGGCGAGAGCCUGAACCAGCCAAGUCGCGUGAAGGAAGAAGGAUCUAUGGUUCGUAAACUUCUUUUGCAGGGGAAUAAAGUGCAGGACGUGUCCUGUUUUGUAUGUACCCUGAGAAUAAGGAUCGGCUAACUCCGUGCCAGCAGCCGCGGUAAUACGGAGGAUCCGAGCGUUAUCCGGAUUUAUUGGGUUUAAAGGGUGCGUAGGUGGUUUGAUAAGUCAGCGGUGAAAGUUUGCAGCUUAACUGUAAAAAUGCCGUUGAAACUGUCGGACUUGAGUGUAAAUGAGGUAGGCGGAAUGCGUGGUGUAGCGGUGAAAUGCAUAGAUAUCACGCAGAACUCCGAUUGCGAAGGCAGCUUACUAAGCUACAACUGACACUGAAGCACGAAAGCGUGGGGAUCAAACAGGAUUAGAAACCCUAGUAGUCC